rnacentral:lncRNA from 1 species
UGUGUGAACUGUAAGUGCGGUGGCUUGGUUUUUCGAGUGGGUGCGGAUGGCUUUAUGCGAAAACCUAGAGAAGAGGACCGGUCGAGAGAGAGAGGGACUGACACGCUGAGAGAAGGAGCAGGAGGCUCCUGGAUAGCGGACAGCGGUCACUUUAGAGGUUCAGGGGGGUUCUUCUAGAGAGAGAGCUUUUGUGAGGAACAACUUCUUGUGAGAGAGAAAUUAGGUAUACGAGGG